AACUAUAACGGUCCUAAGGUAGCGAAAUUCCUUGUCAGGUAAGUUCUGACCCGCACGAAUGGCGUAAUGAUUUGGGCACUGUCUCAACAGCCCGCCCGGCGAAAUUGUAGUACUGGUGAAGAUGCCAGUUACCCGCAACUAGACGGAAAGACCCCAUGGAGCUUUACUGCAGUUUAAUACUGGGAAUCGGUAAUGCAUGUACAGGAUAGGUGGGAGACUUGGAAGCAUAGUCGUCAGGCUAUGUGGAGUCACCGGUGGGAUACCACUCUUGUAUUGCUGGUUUCCUAACCUGCGGCCGUGAAUCCGGUCGGGGGACACUGUUAGACGGGCAGUUUGACUGGGGCGGUCGCCUCCAAAAGAGUAACGGAGGCGCUCAAAGGUUCGUUCAGCACGGACGGAAAUCGUGCACUGAGUGUAAACGCAUAAACGAGCCUAACUGCGAGAAUGACGGUUCGAGCAGUAACGAAAGUUGGAGUUAGUGAUCCGGCGGUAUGUGAAUGGAAAUGCCGUCGCUCAACGGAUAAAAGCUACCCUGGGGAUAACAGGCUGAUCUCCCCCAAGAGUCCACAUCGACGGGGAGGUUUGGCACCUCGAUGUCGGCUCAUCGCAUCCUGGGGCUGAAUUCGGUCCCAAGGGUUUGGCUGUUCGCCAAUUAAAGCGGUACGCGAGCUGGGUUCAGAACGUCGUGAGACAGUUCGGUCCCUAUCUGUUGCGGGCGCAGGAAUAUUGAGAGGAGCUGUCCUUAGUACGAGAGGACCGGGAUGGACGUACCGCUGGUGCACCAGUUGUUCUGCCAAGGGCAUAGCUGGGUAGCUAAGUACGGACGAGAUAAACGCUGAAGGCAUCUAAGCGUGAAACUCCCCUCGAGAUAAGUGUUCCCAUCCUUCGGGAGUAAGGCCCCUUGUAGACUACAAGGUUGAUAGGUCAGGAGUGGAAGUGCAGUAAUGUAUGGAGCGGACUGAUACUAAUAGGCCGAGGGCUUGACCUU
rnacentral:rRNA from 1 species